rnacentral:rRNA from 1 species
AUGCAAGUCGAACGGUGAAGCCAAGCUUGCUUGGUGGAUCAGUGGCGAACGGGUGAGUAACACGUGAGCAACCUGCCCUGGACUCUGGGAUAAGCGCUGGAAACGGCGUCUAAUACUGGAUAUGAGCUCUCAUCGCAUGGUGGGGGUUGGAAAGAUUUUUCGGUCUGGGAUGGGCUCGCGGCCUAUCAGCUUGUUGGUGAGGUAAUGGCUCACCAAGGCGUCGACGGGUAGCCGGCCUGAGAGGGUGACCGGCCACACUGGGACUGAGACACGGCCCAGACUCCUACGGGAGGCAGCAGUGGGGAAUAUUGCACAAUGGGCGGAAGCCUGAUGCAGCAACGCCGCGUGAGGGAUGACGGCCUUCGGGUUGUNAACCUCUUUUAGCAGGGAAGAAGCGAGAGUGACGGUACCUGCAGAAAAAGCGCCGGCUAACUACGUGCCAGCAGCCGCGGUAAUACGUAGGGCGCAAGCGUUAUCCGGAAUUAUUGGGCGUAAAGAGCUCGUAGGCGGUUUGUCGCGUCUGCUGUGAAAUCCCGAGGCUCAACCUCGGGCCUGCAGUGGGUACGGGCAGACUAGAGUGCGGUAGGGGAGAUUGGAAUUCCUGGUGUAGCGGUGGAAUGCGCAGAUAUCAGGAGGAACACCGAUGGCGAAGGCAGAUCUCUGGGCCGUAACUGACGCUGAGGAGCGAAAGGGUGGGGAGCAAACAGGCUUAGAUACCCUGGUAGUCCACCCCGUAAACGUUGGGAACUAGUUGUGGGGACCAUUCCACGGUUUCCGUGACGCAGCUAACGCAUUAAGUUCCCCGCCUGGGGAGUACGGCCGCAAGGCUAAAACUCAAAGGAAUUGACGGGGACCCGCACAAGCGGCGGAGCAUGCGGAUUAAUUCGAUGCAACGCGAAGAACCUUACCAAGGCUUGACAUACACCAGAACACCGUAGAAAUACGGGACUCUUUGGACACUGGUGAACAGGUGGUGCAUGGUUGUCGUCAGCUCGUGUCGUGAGAUGUUGGGUUAAGUCCCGCAACGAGCGCAACCCUCGUUCUAUGUUGCCAGCACGUAAUGGUGGGAACUCAUGGGAUACUGCCGGGGUCAACUCGGAGGAAGGUGGGGAUGACGUCAAAUCAUCAUGCCCCUUAUGUCUUGGGCUUCACGCAUGCUACAAUGGCCGGUACAAAGGGCUGCAAUACCGUGAGGUGGAGCGAAUCCCAAAAAGCCGGUCCCAGUUCGGAUUGAGGUCUGCAACUCGACCUCAUGAAGUCGGAGUCGCUAGUAAUCGCAGAUCAGCAACGCUGCGGUGAAUACGUUCCCGGGUCUUGUACACACCGCCCGUCAAGUCAUGAAAGUCGGUAACACCUGAAGCCGGUGGCCCAACCCUUGUGGAGGGAGCCGUCGAAGGGGUCCA